rnacentral:rRNA from 1 species
AGAGUUUGAUCAUGGCUCAGGAUGAACGCUGGCGGCGUGCCUAAUACAUGCAAGUCGAGCGAACUGAUUAGAAGCUUGCUUCUAUGACGUUAGCGGCGGACGGGUGAGUAACACGUGGGCAACCUGCCUGUAAGACUGGGAUAACUUCGGGAAACCGAAGCUAAUACCGGAUAGGAUCUUCUCCUUCAUGGGAGAUGAUUGAAAGAUGGUUUCGGCUAUCACUUACAGAUGGGCCCGCGGUGCAUUAGCUAGUUGGUGAGGUAACGGCUCACCAAGGCAACGAUGCAUAGCCGACCUGAGAGGGUGAUCGGCCACACUGGGACUGAGACACGGCCCAGACUCCUACGGGAGGCAGCAGUAGGGAAUCUUCCGCAAUGGACGAAAGUCUGACGGAGCAACGCCGCGUGAGUGAUGAAGGCUUUCGGGUCGUAAAACUCUGUUGUUAGGGAAGAACAAGUACCGGAGUAACUGCCUGUACCUUGACGGUACCUAACCAGAAAGCCACGGCUAACUACGUGCUAGCCGCCGCGGUAAUC